UCCUAGGGUUAGCAUUAAACCCACAUUUUUUAAGAGCAUCCGAAGGCUCACAUCUUAGCCUCUGAGUCGUGACAGGUAAAUGUUUCAUAAUUUUAAAAAAUGGCAAGUAGAAAUGUCACUAAAAUCCCUUGAAAUGUUUUAUUGACCCUAAACAUUUUCUGAAAUGUCAGUUGUGUUCUUGGCCAAUUUAAGGCCAAAUGAGCCCAUUCAAGUUGUAUUUUUUUCCAAUUCGAGAGAGAAACGUCAUUGUGUAAGGAAAACUAGAAAAGGAAAGAUGAGGCCAUUGUAAGUGCAUUAAAGCCCUCCAACUACAUCCUUGAGUGUUUUAAAGUCAUGAUGAUGCCUCAAGAAUGUUGGUAAUUCCAUGUUGAAGAUGUGAAAAGGUUCUUACAGGGGAAGGAAAGAAAAAGAGAGAAAGAAAUAAACGGCAACCAUCUAGGCCAUUGAUUAAGGGUGAUUUUCCGUUUUCCUUGAAACAACCAAAGAAGGUUAUAUUCAAAGGGAGUGAGCUCAAGAUGAUCCUUGCAAUCUAAGGUGGUAAACUGCUCUUUAGAAGUCUCAUUUACAUGUGUAUGAUGUUGCAUGCCAAGUGUUUGGUGAAAUGCCCAAACAAACACUUAUAUAUGGUGAAAUUUGUACAUGUAAUGAACUCUAUUAGAGUUACAAAAAUGAGAAGUUGCACAAGGGCGGGUAUCAUACAUGGAGUUCCAUCCAAGUAUUGGGCAAGCCAUUAACAACCAAGGAUUGCACCGGGGAGGUAUUUUAUAUCUUACAAGUUUCAUUUUAUAUGUUUAUGUGGUUGUAUGCUAAGUGUUUGGUGAAAUGCCUAAACCAACAUUUGCGUUGUUUAUGGGGGGGGGGGGAUUUGUAUGGUGAUUGUUCAGAAUCACAUUAUCUGUAAUUGGGGCAUUCUAUAAGCCCCUAUUAUCAUUAUAACUAGUCAAUUUGGGAGUUGAUUGGAUUAAGGGCGAAACCCUUGCUUGAUUGUCA